AAGUAAUUCAAUCCAGGGCCACUCCUGCCAUGGACAAACAAAAUAAGACCCUUAACUGUCAGAAUCGGCAGACGUUUAUGAUGAGUCAUUAAGGGUUCAUAUCCAUUUUAGAAUGAACUUCAGAUCAUAUUCCAUGAUCCUUACUGAAGUCUCAUAAUUAUAAAACUUGCUCAUCAAUAUAGCUAGUCCAACAUAAGAAUUAUUCAAUAGAUUGCAAAAAAAUAAAAAACAAUACUUUUCUGGAAGUAGCAAUGUAGG
rnacentral:misc_RNA from 1 species